rnacentral:rRNA from 1 species
GACGAACGCUGGCGGCGUGCCUAAUACAUGCAAGUCGAACGCUGAAGGAGGAGCUUGCUCUUCUGGAUGAGUUGCGAACGGGGGAGGAACGCGUAGGUAACCUGCCUUGUAGCUGGGGAUAACUAUUGGAAACGAUAGCUAAUACCGCAUAACAGUAGAUGUUGCAUGACAUUUGCUUAAAAGUUGCAAUUUCCCCACUACCAGGUGGCCCUGCGUGGUAUUUGGUAGUUGGUGGGGUAACGGCCCACCAAGGCGACGAUACAUAACCGGGCUGAGAGGGUGAUCGGCCCCAAUGGGACCGGGACAAGGGCCCGAACUCUACGGGAGGCAGGAGGAGGGAAUCUUCGGCAAUGGACGGAAGGCUGAACGAGGAACGCCGGGUGAGGGAAGAAGGGUUUCGGAUCGGAAAGGUCUGUUGUAAGAGAAGAAAGAGUGUGAGAGUGGAAAGUUCACACUGUGACGGUACCUUAACAGAAAGGGACGGCUAACUACGUG